UACGGGGGGGGCAAGCGUUGUUCGGAAUUACUGGGCGUAAAGGGCUCGUAGGUGGCCAACUAAGUCAGACGUGAAAUCCCUCGGCUUAACCGGGGAACUGCGUCUGAUACUGGAUGGCUGGAGUUUGGGAGAGGGAUGCGGAAUUCCAGGUGUAGCGGUGAAAUGCGUAGAUAUCUGGAGGAACACCGGUGGCGAAGGCGGCAUCCUGGACCGGCAUUGACGCUGAGGAGCGAAAGCCAGGGGAGCAAACGGG
rnacentral:rRNA from 1 species